rnacentral:misc_RNA from 1 species
CUCUCUCUCUCUCUCUCUCUCUCUCUGAAGGACCUUCCUUCCUUCUGUAUUGUUUUUGUUGUCGCUCGCUAGAUGUUAGAGCUGUUCUGUAGUUGCAAUCUUCUGUUCGUUUCCCGAGAAAGUUGAAAGCUUAUAGGGAAGGGAAAACGAGAAAAGAUAUACUAUUGAGUCCUCCAGUUUUUAAAAGUCUUGGAAUUUGUUCUUGGAGCAGAAGUGGGAAAUGGUUAACAGGUAUGGAGUGUUUUGAUUUGCAUAGAAUAUCAUGUUGCAGUGCAUAGAGGGAUUCAUUACUUCCCUACUGCGGUGUUGUGAUCUUGAUUUAUAUAAACAAUCAAGAGGCCUUGAAGACCCUGAACGUCUUGCCAGGGAGACUGUGUUUAGUGUGAGUGAAAUAGAGGCACUGUAUGAGCUCUUUAAGAAGAUCAGCAGCGCCGUGAUUGAUGACGG